UGAUCUAGUAAGCCUUCAGGAGAGCUUCAGCCAUGUGGGCAGGGGGGACUCCAGGAAUGCUCUUGGUCUUUUGAUCAGCUGUACACUGAGCUGAGUCCCAUGUUAACCUGAAAAAUGGAAACCCCAAGUCGUGUGCCAUCGCCGUACAAUCAUGUCUAGCAGUUGGAGGACUUUUAGAGAAGGGCUCUGCCGCCGCCUCGGGAGAGUGUGCAGAGCUGGUUACAGAUGUUGGGCAACCAGGAAAGGUUUAUCGUGAGCUGACUUGACAGGUGGAGAUUUGUGUUACAGUGCGAUGACUUGUGCUUGGCAGAUCUCAUUAUGUCAUAGAUCAUCCAGACAAAAAUUUACAUAGAUUUGGAUUGAAAGCCACUAGGCACAAGGCUCCCAUUCCAUGUGGUUUGAGUGAUUGCAUGUUCACCAAUUCCCAGAGAGGCUGUAAGAACAGCAGCACAAAGACCGGUGUUGGCUGGCUGGCGGCCGCACAGCCUGGCUCCUGGCACCGGUUGCUCUGCUCCAUCCGUCCCUGCAGCACCCGUUAGCGACAGGUACCGUGUCACCGCAGAGGCUCCUGGUCUCCCUGCGGGGUGUGAUGGGAGAGCUGUGUGCCGCAGAUUAAUUGCAGUUUCAGAGUUCUUGUUAUCGCCAUGCUAUUAAUUACUUUAAUGAUGCAUUCAUUUAGAUUGAAAAUAUGAUACCAGUAAAGUUUAAUUAAAAGAAUCAAUAACUCAUUAACACGUUAUUGCUGUACCUACAUGCGUCACUGUAUUAAUCUCCUGUGCUGGAGGAGCAGUUGUGCCUUAGCUUUGUGUCCGUAGAUCUUUUUUGUUAGAAGCAAUUUGUUAGUAGGAUAUCCACAAAAGGAGAGUUAUUCAGUCACUGCUUUCUUUAGAGACUAUGGACCACAAGUCAGAUCAGUUGUUCUCUUUGGGCUGGUCUGAGCUGACAGGUACCCCAGGUAAUACUUGCUCUUGCUGGUUUUGUUCUAAGAGGACCAUUCUGCAAAUCUGUGAUUUUGGUGGGUUUGUGGCUGGUUGAAAUUGUUUGUGCAUGGUAUAUGGGAAGGAAUAAGCCACCAAAAUUUUAAUUAGCUGCCACAGAUUUGAGACAUAACCCAGGUAUUUGAUCAAUAAGUAGCACACCCUUGCUGUCAGGGAUGAGCCAUUGCGUCUGCUGUUGUACCUCGAGACCCAACAUCAGCUUCGGCUCGACAUCUGCUGCACUGCCCUGGCACUGAGAGACCGAUGGCUGCUUUCACGUGCCAGAGACGUAUCAGAUGAUGUGACUGAAGGUUUUACAUCAUUUGAGUUUAUGUACCAAUGUAUAGGUGUGUGCGUGUAUGCACACAUGCAUACAUGAGCAGAAUGAUGUUUGUGUUUCUCGGUUGGACAGAUGGGCGAAGGAGAAACAGUGAGCUACUGGAAACCAUCCAAAUGUUUAAAUGAGAAGUGAGCUGAAGAAUGAAAGUUUCUGAAAAUGUAUUUGUUUCUUAGUGGAUAAAAUACACUCAUUACUGGUGUGUUCCCAUGCAUCAGUUAGUACAGUCUUUAAUUAAAUUAGCCCUGGCUGAUAUUGUCAUAGUCUCUCAGACAGCAACAGAGGCUUAAGCCACACAACAGGAGCCUCGACGAGCUGUGGGGACCAUAGCUAUGCUCUGCAAACCAGUAGGCCCAGUCCCUCAGACCCGAGCAGAGUGGGACUUGGCAGUUUGUGUCCCCAUCAUCAGUCAAGAGUGCUGCCAGCUGCUCCCGGCUGAGCACAGAAGUGGACCCCAAACCAUGCCCCCAGUUUCAGCUAUUCUUACAGGAGGAGCAGCAUAUAGCUGGAUAUUCACCAGUGAAACGGAAACCAGCUGGUUCUCAGACACUACAGAAGCUCCUGUUUACAUGGAUCUCUGAUCUGCAUCAGCGCUGCACUGCCUCUGCGAAUUGGUGGGUAACCGGGGCUGUCUGUGAUGCGAGGAUACAAAUAGAAGGCAGUGGCUUUUCAGGUUCUGAGUUCCUUCUGUUCGAAGGCUGCAUUAUUGACUGCAAGCUUUUGCCAAAUUCUACAUUCUUUUUUUAAUAUUACUUUUGAUUUUUAUUUCCAUUUGUUUCCAUACAGCAUAAAAGUAAUGGCACAGUGGGUCCUGUGGUGUUCUCUGUACCCUGAGGAUACCUGCCCAGCCCCACCAUGGACCUGCCACUGCUCUACAUGUCCUCAUGGUCCUAUUUCAGCCUGGGCCCAUCAGUCUCUGCCCCAACAAUACCACAGGAUGCCAGCCUCCAUGUAGUCAGGAGAAAAUAAGCAGUUGGCUGAGCUGGGGAUCACAUGCCUGCAGGUAUCUCUGCCUCAAAUCAAAUGUUAUUGGUUAUCCACCUCUGGUCUGGUGCAUAAGCAUCAAGCAAUUGAGAUGAAAACUGGACCUUUUCCAUGACUGAGGUUGAGGUCUCAGCUGGUGCUUGGGCAGUGCUGCUGGCAUUGCUACGCAUCUUCCAGGAGAUGCUGGGGUCUUCCCUGUCCAUCACAAAUGUGGAUAACACUUGGAUAGAAUUUUGGAGCAGAUUACCUCAACUUAACAUUCCAGCUGCGGUGGGAUGUGUUUCUGCUGGUGACAGACCUGCUCAAGUCCUGCUGUCAUCAGUGAUGCAGUUUGCAUUUCCAGAUGUGCUCUCGUCUCCCAAGAGCUUUCUUCUGAAGAAUGGGAAGGCCAUGGACAAGAUGUGACACGAGGCGUUUGCUCGUCCUCCAGCUGCUGGCUGGUGUAUUCAGAGCUGCCUGGUUGGAGCACUUUGCCUGUCUGUAUGCCACAGGUGUGCAGUAACCUCCUACUGCUCAUUCCUUUACAAGAUCCCCACGAUUUUAUUGAAGCAUACAAUGUUUUGUCCCAAAAGCAACGGUGACUUGGAGAUGAGACUGAGAUUAGGGGAGCCACCACGGCUAGAGACGUGAAAAUGACAGAAGGGAAGCUUUCUUCUUGCACCAGAGCUGCAAAACAAAUUGCUAGCAAACAUGAGAUCUUUCUCUUCUGUCUAAAGGAAAACAAAACAAAGUUUGGUAUUUAGUUCUAGAACCAGAAUAAUAGAACAGCUUAGGUUGGAAAGGACCUCAAAAGAUCAUCUGUUUCAACCUUUCACAGGAAGAUGAGCCCAGAGAUUACCCAGCACCUUGUCCAGCCACAUCUUGAAAUCCUCCAGGUGAUGGCUAUUGGCUGACGGUGGAGCCCAGACCAAUAACUGACUGCCAGGAAGUGCAAGAAAGAGCUAAACGGUCCAGACUUCAGCACAAAGCAUUUCCUAAUGGCAACAGGACAGCCAGUGCUACGGAUCGCCUGUACGUGUCCUUAGGAGUGCUCUGCCAGCCUGGGCUUUCUCCAGAAGCAUGGAAACAAGUUCAGGCAGACAUCGCUGAGAAGCUGCCCAGAAAUAUUCUGUGGGCAGAAGGGAGAAGGGCAACGUUACUGCCUGGGGGACUGGACUCAUUCCCAUCUGCUGUCAAGCCACACAGCCUCGUGCAGGACCUUCUCUGCAACACGGGGAGAAAGGACAAGGUGUCUGUCAGCAUCGCUUCUCCUCUCGGAAGGGCAGCACGUGAUCCACACUUGGAUUAAACACGUCCAGUGAGUUGUGGACCUUCCUGAAAGCUUUUCCCUAAUUCACAGGCAGAAUCCUGAACAAGGAGGAAAACGUUCACAUACUGCCCUGGAAAACACCCGAGUAAGGAUAUGCAAUUCAGAAUUUAGCCUUCCCACAUUUAAAAAUAAUUUAAAAAACCUUAAAAAUUAUAUAUCUGUCAAUCCUGGAUGAAAGAAAAGAUAAUGGAUGAAAGCUUCUUGUAACUAGUUUAUUCUCCUAGGAAAAGAGCAGAGUUUUUUUCUGUGUGAGUAGAAUAGUCUUUCUUACUUUGAUGUAAAAACAAAAUCAAGCAUCUGGAAUUACAGGGAAACUUUAAUUAUAAAGGGCUCAGUUAAAUCUUCUGAAAAAAAAUUCUGAAUGAAGAUUUUCAAGAAAUGAAACCCUUUGCUGACUGAAGAAAAACAGAACAGAACAUUUGGGGGUUUAAAAAAGAUGUAUCAUGCACUGAGGAAGAAGGAUGAUACUGUGUGUUGCCACUACAGGUACAGGAAUGUUUUAUCUAAAAGAAUAUAUCAACAGCCUAAUAAAAACCCCAACUGUAGGUGCAGAAUCCGUGUUCCCAAAGCACCUACAAACUCACCGACUGCACCACCGGGGCUGCAGACUGGCUUCAGACUGUAGUUAGACAGUUGUAUACAUGUAAACAGCCUUUAUAAAGACAAAUCAGAGUUGAAAAAGGAAGGAAAAGGACCAUCAUGAUUAAUAUAAGGUGAUCUGAAAGCAAAACGGCGAUGCUGAUUCACCCGCUGUUUAUCUAUAACACUUCUUGAUUAGCUCUCGGAGCAAUUAGGCGGUUCCACCAUUUCUGCAAAGAGAACUGAUGUGGAUGCCGAAACGUAAGGAUCAGAGAGAGGACCUGGGUUGAGGCCCCGUUCGAUUUCUCUUCUCUCCAAGGAGUUAUUGAGGAAGGGCCCUUGUGGCAGUCAGUGCCAACACUGGGUGCCAACACAUGGCUCUCCCCAUCUCCUACUUGAGUCAUGGCACCCGCAAAGAGCCAUUCCUUUGACACAUCUCCCGUGUACCAAACCCUGUGGGAUGAGGAUGUCUGUGACCUCCUUUUGCUGUGGAAGCAAUGCUCAUCUUUCAAGAUGAAACCCACACAGAAGUGGAGAGGAGAGCUGAGAAUGCAAGGUUGCUGAUAAGGUUUACUCGUGUACUUUACUGUUUGUGAGUUUUGCUGGCAACUACUGGAGUGAGAUAAAAGUGUUCCAGGAACAGAAGAGCAGGAGAAGAAAAAGAAAACAACCCAGUCUCCAAAUAUGCAGAGGAGUUUUUAGUUUUACAGAUUUGCAUUGCAUCAAUCCAAACUCCACCUGCGCACCCCAGCUGGUACCCUGGAUGAUAGGGUCCUUGAGCUUACAGGAUGAAUGAGAUACAUGUUUGAUAAAGUAGUCACAAGUUUGUGGAUGCAGAAGGCUUGAGGGUUGGAGUGUAGGAUAGACAUACCCAAUGCCUGUGCACAACGGAGUGUUUGAGAGAAAAAAGAAGAAAAAGGAUUCGUUUCAUCAUAGUACCUAUCUCUGUUUUUUAUGAGUUAGUGGGUGGAGUCCCAAAGUGUUCAAAGUAAGUUCAAAUACUCUCUGAGUCAAUUUGAAUUUAUUUCCUGUAAUUGUUAACAACAAUUUCUAAUCAGAAUGACAUCUGCUGAUGGAUGGUAAUGAUCCCCUAGAAGUGAAAUGGGUAUUUAUUGAAAUUCUUAGUUCAAUCUUUAUUAAAAUGUCAGUGACUGUCAGUUUUAACUACACAUUUUUAACUGUGAAAACUGUUUUUAUAUGAAUUACAAUCAAAUCCUCAUAUGCCCAACUUAGAACAAAAUAUAUUGGAAAAUACAUUUUGAGCUAUCGCUUGGACUGUAGCCUAAUACGUGUUAACUGUAAUAAUUGCUUUCUCUGAAUAGUUUUGGUCACAGAAGAAAUGCUUCACUAAAUUUUAGGAGGGGGAAAAAAAUGGAAAAAAGAACAGGCUUUUUUUUUCCACACUGUUUUUAUUUCAGCAUGCAUCAAAUCCUGGUUUUAUAACUUAUUAAUGAUGAAUUGAUCUCAGGAGAUCGCAGCUCUGUAUUUACAGAGUGAUUAGAUAUACUGGGGGCUGUUUUAAAUGCAGCAGCUGCUCAGUGCUGAUUUAAGUACACAGAUGUUCUUAUUAGCAUAAUACUCAAAUUCAAUGCCCUUCUUAUCUGCAUCUUCCAAAUGCACAAACCCAGCAGCACCAGGAGCACAGAAGCUCCAUGCAGGAAAAGCCCCUUCUCCCUGAAUCUGCAGCGAAGUGCCGCUUGGACCAUCCUAUCGGAACUGUCUGGGUCCUCUCCCAUGCACAGGUUCCCCCCACGUCUACAGGCAUGAUCCCAGCAUGGAUUGGUGCCCGAUGGUGGGGAUGGAGAGAUGGGACCUCUUGGAGAUGAUACGGUGAGGCUGCAGGGGCUCUAGGCUGAACAGCCCUUGGGUUACACGUAAACAACUAAAAAUGGAGUUGACCCUCUGCCUGGUUUUGUUUGGAGCACUUUGUGGCGUUUGGGUGUUAUUGCUGCUGUGCUUUCCUUUGCGGUGACGUUUUCAGCUCUGCUCUUGCUCUUGCUUUGUACUUUCAAGACAUGAGUUGUAAUGGGAGGUAAUGUUUGUGGUCUUUGAACCAAAGAAACUGCAGGUAAUGACAGCAAAUUGGCAUCUGGCUCCAUGAAUUGCUUAUUACUGAAAUGUGCCUGACUUGCAGCUCAGGACUGGAGGCUGCAGGACUGAAAAGGUCAGACCCAAACCGGUGACACACUUUUCUGGACUGGUUUGAUGCUGCAGGGAGGUCUGUCCGUCUCUUUGGUGACAAAGCAGCAGAAGCUUCAAUAUAGCCUUUCUUAAUUGUCGCAAGACUCUCCCAGGCUUUCACAGUAAUCUGUAAAGUUAAAAAAGUUCAUCUAAGUUUUCUUUCUUUAUUGGGUAUUUUAAAAUAUUUCUCUUGCUAAUCGGGAUGAAAAUUACAGCAAUUAUGACAAUCUUACAAAGCAAAUGUCAUCACAGGAGAUGUAAAGCCCUUUUACAAAGGGGCUGCUCUCUUCAGGUAGCAGAGUUGUGAGAAGAACCUGUAGCUCCUCGUUUGCAGUUUUCCAUUUCCAGUUCUACAUGAUUUCCCAGAGGAAAGGAAACCCCAACCGACUACAUCUGUCGGUUAUUUCAGUCUCUCCACGAAGAGGGAUGUUGUGAAAUGUCACCAGGAAACUUCCAUUCUGUUCAGCUCAGCCUCCUAAACUUGCCACGCGUCCAUGGCGUGAGUGAACCCCGGGACUUCUGAAUAUUUUAGACCAAUAUACUUUUUAAUUUGACCUCCCACUAUGCUUUAUGUUAAACAGCGUCGAUCCCCAAUCAUUUUCUCACUGGGAUGUUUUAUGUGUAUGAUUUUCCACAUAUAUAUUUCUGUUCUUCACUUUUCCUUGCAGCAACUUUGAGCACCUCAAAGGGUUUGGUGUCUGCAUUUUAACACCUUGUAGUUUCAGACUGUAUGAUCUCAAUAAUUGGAAGGUUUACCCAAGAGAUCGGGACCAUAUGAGGAGCACGGAAAGGGAGCCUGCUUGGUGGCUCCUUGCUGCCCCAUAAGAAACAUCCAGGUAUCCAGCAGAAAUAUAAAGUUAUGACAACAGCAGAACUGGAAAUAACUUCAAAGUCAAACUGAUAUCUUUUGAAAGAUGAGGAAAAUAUUACAAAGAAAAUAUCAAAGGCUCAAGAAGGAUUUUCCUAGGCACUUUGUUACAGAAGUCUUUACCACCCCCUGCAGAGGCAAUCAAGACUAAUGGGAACAUUAGUACAGCCGAGGACUACAUAUCAAAAGAGUCCCUGGAGCAAAUAACACCCAGUAACUAGAGCAUCACUGGCACUGCACUCCAAACCACCCCCCUCUGUCACAGAAAUGAGUAAAAGGGUCGUAAACAGCAGAGAGAAAAUUUUUGCCUUGUGACUGCAAAUAAGCACCCAGCAGAGCUGUUAAAAGUUGCUUGGUGAAGAGAAAAAUAUGAUUCUUCCAGUUUUAUGGGCCAUGUUCAGAUAGCUCUUACUCCCAUUCCAUAAAUCCAAUUUUCACAUAGAUUAAAUUGAAAUCCCUUACAGGCUCAGCUGAAUAAUGCCCUGGAUUGUCACGCCCCUGCUGCGUGAUGUGCACCGAAUCAAUCUUCUUCCACGCUCACGCAGGGCUUUGCAGCCAUGGCCGCAGCAGUUGCGGGGAAUAUACUGCACAAGUGCCACCUUGGGUGCUUGGCUUUGCAACCCAAAGCAUGAUAAAUACCACAUGUACCAACAGAGAUGUUCACGUGGGCUCUCGGGUCCUGCAUAAACACUUAUUGGUUUUGAAAAAUUUUAUAUUAACCUUAAUUUAAAAAGAAUAAAAAGUUAUGGUGGCGAUUGAGCUAAGAAUACACCAUCAGAGGUGGCUGCCGUGUCCAAGGGCAUGGGAGGAGGAGAGCCGAUCGAUGCAUCUCAUGAAGGUAGCAUUUCUCGUUGGGUUUUUGUGCACUGAUGGCAGCAGCUCAUGAAAUGUUCGAGCCUGGCUGUUGUGGCAGAGCUGGGGAUCCUCCCAGGAGCUGCUGGCUACGCUUGUGGGGAACCAGUGCUUUGCAAAAAGGGCUUUUCCAGGUGCAGUGUUAAAUGCUGGUUCUGUCCUCAAAAAACCACAGCGUCCUCAUUGGUGUCUUGAGUUCUCUGAUGUUGUCGUUAUCUGUGUGUGUGAAUAACAGUGUCUGAAUCUUACUGAUGUGCAAAUAUUUAGGAAUAUUAUGAAGUGUGCUGUGCAGGGGAACGUGGAGCCACGUGAGGUAUAGUGUGCCAUGAUUAGCACUAAGUGAAAAGAAAUGCCGCUGAGUGUUGUUUGAAUAAAGAACAUGGUGUAACUGAUGUAGCAAGAGGUGCUCUAAGGUUGUUCCUCACUAUGUUUACAAUGAAGAAAAAGAUAAAUCUCUAACCAAAUACAGCCCCAUACACAUAAGAUAUCGCAUCACCUAUGGGGCAGCACCUCAGUCACUCAGAUAUCGACAUUGGUACAUUUGUCUUAAUUUUGUUUCCAUCCUUAAAGUCUUUAUGGGUGUUUGAGGGAUGUGGCUGGCUUUCCAUGGGUGCAUCCAUCUGUGGGCAGUUUGGGACAUGGGCCUGUUCGCAUUACCUUCGUUAUGACUUCAGUCCCCUAGUUCAACAACAACAGGGUUGUUCUUAUUUAUUGUUUGGCAUUCCUGACACUAUUUGCUUCUGGUCUGCGUGCUCAUCUUUCUAUUAAUGAUGAUGGUUUUGUACUCAUUUGUCCUUGUCCUGGUUGCUGAUCCUCUGUCACGUUCUGCUGGGUGUAAGUACACUGGGGAGCAG